rnacentral:rRNA from 1 species
UACGGGGGGGGUAAGCGUUGUUCGGAAUUACUGGGCGUAAAGGGCUCGUAGGCGGCCAACUAAGUCAUACGUGAAAUCCCUCAGCUUAACUGGGGAACUGCGUGUGAUACUGGAUGGCUUGGAUUUGGGAGAGGGAUGCGGAAUUCCAGGUGUAGCGGUGCAAUGCGUAGAUAUCUGGAGGAACACCGGUGGCGAAGGCGGCAUCCUGGACCAAUAUUGACGCUGAGGAGCGAAAGCCAGGGGAGCAAACGGG